rnacentral:rRNA from 1 species
AUUGAACGCUGGCGGCAUGCCUUACACAUGCAAGUCGAACGGUAACGCGGGGGCGAACCCUCGGCGACGAGUGGCGAACGGGUGAGUAAUACAUCGGAACGUACCCACGUAGUGGGGAGUAGCUCGGCGAAGACCGGAUUAAUACCGCAUACGACCUAUGGGUGGAAAGACGGGGAGUCGCAAGACCUCGCGCUAUUGGAGCGGCCGAUGUCGGAUUAGCUAGUUGGUGAGGUAAAGG